rnacentral:rRNA from 1 species
GUAACUGCGAGUGAAGAGGGAAAAGCUCAAAUUUUGAAUCUGGCGGUCGUGAUGGCCGUCCGAGUUGUAAUCUAGAGAAGCGUCUUCUAGCGCUGAGCCGUGUACAAGUCUCCUGGAAGGGAGCGUCAUAGAGGGUGAGAAUCCCGUCUUUGACACGGAGAAUCAGUGCGAUGUGAUGCGCUCUCGACGAGUCGAGUUGUUUGGGAAUGCAGCUCAAAUAGGGUGGUAAAUUCCAUCUAAAGCUAAAUACUGGCGAGAGACCGAUAGCGAACAAGUACCGUGAGGGAAAGAUGAAAAGAACUUUGGAAAGAGAGUUAAACAGUACGUGAAAUUGCUGAAAGGGAAACGCUCGAGGUCAGUCGCGUCUGCCAGGGAUCAACCUUGCUUCUUCGCUCGGUGCAUUUCUUGGUCGGACGGGUCAGCAUCAGUUUCGAUCGUCGUAGAACGGUCGAGGGAACGUGGCACCUCUCGAGGUGUGUUAUAGCCCUCGAUCUUAUGCGUCGGAAGGGACUGAGGAACUCGACAC